rnacentral:rRNA from 1 species
GACAGAGGGUGCAAACGUUGUUCGGAUUUACUGGGCGUAAAGCGUGUGUAGGCGGCUUGGCAAGUUGGAUGUGAAAGCCCACGGCCCAACCGUGGAAGCGCACCCAAAACUGCUUCGCUCGAGUCUCGGAGAGGAAGGUGGAAUGCUUGGUGUAGAGGUGAAAUUCGUAGAUAUCAAGCAGAACACCUGCGCGAAGGCGGCCUUCUGGACGAUGACCGACGCUGAGACACGAAAGCGUGGGGAGCAAACAGG